UCAGGUUUCCGCGGCGGCCGAGCGCCCGGUGGGCUCGUCCCUGCGCGGGCUUCUCCUGGAGCGCUGAGUCGGGGCUUGGCGGAGAAGCGCGGCUCCAGACCCCCCCCUUUCCCACUCCCCCGCUGGACCGGCCCGUGGAUUCGGAGCUUGCGCUGCGUCUCCGUCGCCUUUUGGAACGGGCGUCCCACGUCGCUUCUCCGAGCCUCCCUUUUGGAUGCGACUCAUGUUUCUGGAUCAACUUCCUCUUGCUCAUCACUUGGCAGACCCUUGCAGAAAUCAGUGAAGAGGAAGCUGAAGGUGGAUUUUGAAAGGUUGAGUUAAGCCCUGGGCAAAAAUCAUUUUUAAAAAAGAAGCACAAACACCAUUAGAGCCACUGAAGAUCAAUUUUGCUAGAGAAUGGAUUUACAGAUUUCUCCAUGGAGCUUCUGUCAGUGACACAUCCUGGCCUACUGACUGGCAGUUGCUCAGAGAAAUGAGUAGAAGCCAUCAUUUUCCGAACAAAGGAAGUUUGCCUUUAAAUCAAGAAAGGUGAGUGGUAACCUCUUCCAAGGUCUCUGAACAUCAAAGUGGAAGAGCAGGAAGAGAGAACUGCACGCACAUGCUCACCAAGACAAAGCUGCAGCCUGCCGUCUCUGUGUGUAUUUUUCCCUCCCUCCCCAAGCCAAGGAAAGACACAGAAGACGGAUGGUUGCAAGACGAACAUAGGAACCUCAAGGUUUGCAUGAGAAAAGAACAGGAGGCACUUCCUGGGCUGCUUCUUGUCCUUUGAAGACUUGCCACAGUCAACGGCACUGCCAUGGCUCGGUUUAAAGCUUCAGCAGCACAAUUCGCAAGGAAAAUAUUUGGACUGCAACUUUUGGACCGUUUUCCUGCUUUGAAGUAGUUUGUCAUGCUUUACCAGUGUGAACUCUGUUGACCCACAUCCCCCCCCCCCCCCCCCCCCCCCCUCCCCCCUC